AGUGAACGCUGGCGGUAGGCCUAACACAUGCAAGUCGAACGGCAGCACAGUAAGAGCUUGCUCUUACGGGUGGCGAGUAGCGGACGGGUGAGGAAUACAUCGGAAUCUACUUUUUCGUGGGGGAUAACGUAGGGAAACUUACGCUAAUACCGCAUACGACCUACGGGUGAAAGCAGGGGAUCUUCGGACCUUGCGCGAUUGAAUGAGCCGAUGUCGGAUUAGCUAGUUGGCGGGGUAAAGGCCCACCAAGGCGACGAUCCGUAGCUGGUCUGAGAGGAUGAUCAGCCACACUGGAACUGAGACACGGUCCAGACUCCUACGGGAGGCCGCAGUGGGGAAUAUUGGACAAAGGGCGCAAGCCUGAUCCAGCCAUACCGCGUGGGUGAAGAAGGCCUUCGGGUUGUAAAGCCCUUUUGUUGGGAAAGAAAAGCAGCAGGUUAAUACCCCGCUGUUCUGACGGUACCCAAAGAAUAAGCACCGGCUAACUUCGUG
rnacentral:rRNA from 1 species